AGUGAGUGUUGGCAGAGAAAGGGAGGACUGGAGGAAAAGGGCCACAGCUGCUGCAAAGGGCAGUCAUUAGUCCCACAUGUGCUUCUGAGUGCUCCCUUGGCCAAAAUGAGAACCCAGCAUGAGAAAUGAACCUGAACUCCACAGCUUCCUGCAUUUGUGAGAUUUAUUCAAAGUGCUAGCAGAGAGGAUGAAGACUGCAGUAUAAGUAAGAAGAAUAAAAUAACAGCUUUUUUUGAGGUUGAAUGAAAAAUGGCUUUUUUACAGAACACUUUUUUUCUGAUGGGAGUUGAGUGGCUUUUUCUUGUGCCUCCAAGCUCUUUUUACCAUUUUAAAUAGCUAAAAACAGAGCCUAAUAACCCAAAGUUGAUACCUAUUGCUGUCAAAUUCAGACACUGCACAAACUGAGAAACCAGGGCACAGUGAAUAUUUAAUGCAAUACAAGGAUGGAUAUAACUUCUGCAACAGUGACUGAAAAGAAUCUUUUCUACCUGAGUACCAUUGGUAAAGUAAUUUGGGUGUGGAAAACAUAGAUUCAACCUCCUACAGCACAGGAAUGAAUCGAUUCUAGAUGUACUUUAUUGUAUAAAUAUCCAGCCAAGCCCACAAUUGGAACAGAGCCACUGUUUAGGCCAUACUUGAUGAGAAGGUCUGGCAGAAGGGACUCACAACCAGGUUUUACUCCUGUGUUUCAUGGUGUUGCUGUUCCAAUGGAUGGAGCUGUCAAGAGAGAUUAUGGCCAGACUUUCACUGCCCUUCAGGUACCAUGAAUCCACAAGGCCUGCAAUCUUCAACAGGAGCUGGUAUUUAAAAUCCAGUAAAAUAGGAGUUAGGCACCAAUGAAGUUCCAGCUGAGCCCUCUCAGUGGAUGUUACAUGCAACUAAAGGGUUAACCAUUCAAGGUGGUGACUUCAGGGUUAUAUAUAGAAGACUUUUCUCAGCAGUUGCAAAAUGGUGUGGCCACAAAUGGACCACAAGCCCACACUGGAGGCAACUGUCUGCAAUCAUGCACAUGAAAUGAAC